UUCGUUAACGAACGAGACCUUAACCUGCUAAAUAGCCCGUAUUGCUUUGGCAGUACGCUGGCUUCUUAGAGGGACUAUCGGCUCAAGCCGAUGGAAGUUUGAGGCAAUAACAGGUCUGUGAUGCCCUUAGAUGUUCUGGGCCGCACGCGCGCUACACUGACAGAGCCAGCGAGUACUCCCUUGGCCGGAAGGCCCGGGUAAUCUUGUGAAUCUUUGUCGUGAUGGGGAUAGAUCUUUGUAAUUAUCGAUCUUCAACGAGGAAUGCCUAGUAAGCGCGGGUCAUCAGCUCGCGUUGAUUACGUCCCUGCCCUUUGUACACACCGCCCGUCGCUAAUACCGAUUGAAUGGAUUC
rnacentral:rRNA from 1 species